UCCGGCGUAGCUCAGUGGUAGAGCAGCCGGCUGUUAACCGGCUGGUCGCUGGUUCGAGCCCAGCCGCCGGAGCCA
rnacentral:tRNA from 1 species